rnacentral:rRNA from 1 species
CCUACGGGUGGCAGCAGUGGGGGAUAUUGCACAAUGGGGGAAACCCUGAUGCAGCGACGCCGCGUGAGUGAAGAAGUAUUUCGGUAUGUAAAGCUCUAUCAGCAGGGAAGAAAAUAACAGUACUUGACCAAGAAGCCCCGGCUAACUACGUGCCAGCAGCCGCGGCAAUACGUAGGGGGCAAGCGUUAUCCGGAUUUACUGGGGGUAAAGGGGGCGUAGACGGUUAUGUAAGUCUGGAGUGAAAGCCCGGGGCCCAACCCCGGGACUGCUUUGGAAACUGUGUAACUGGAGUGCAGGAGGGGCAGGCGGAAUUCCUGGUGUAGCGGUGAAAUGCGUAGAUAUCAGGAGGAACACCGGCGGCGAAGGCGGCCUGCUGGACUGAAACUGACGUUGAGGCUCGAAAGCGUGGGGAGCAAACAGGAUUAGAUACCCGGGUAGUC